rnacentral:rRNA from 1 species
GACGAACGCUGGCGGCGUGCCUAAUACAUGCAAGUCGAACGCAGUGGGGACGGGUGAGUAACACGUGGGUAACCUCCCAUCAGAGGGGAUAACACUUGGCAACAGGUGCUAAACCGAUACGGAAGGAUGAACCCGCGGUGCAUUAGCUAGUUGGGGAGGUAACGGCACACCAAGGCCACGAUGCAUAGCCGUCCGUGGAGGGUGAUAGGCCACACUGGGACUGAGACACGGCCCAGACUCCUACGGGAGGCAGCAGUGGGGAAUCUUCGACAAUUGGCGAAAGUCUGACCGAGCAACGCCGCGUGGAUGAAGAAGGUUUUCGGGUCGUAAAACUCUUUUAGUAGAGAAGCGGUAUCUACCCAGGAAGCCACGGCUAACUACGUGCCAGCCGCCGCGGUAAUUC